CCAAGGAGUCUAACAUGUGCGCGAGUCAUUGGGUCUUGUUCAGGCCCAGAGGCGCAAUGAAAGUGAAGGACGCCCCAGUCGGUGUCUGCGUUGGGAUCCCGGGGCCGCGAGUCUCGGGCGCACCAACGGCCCGUCCCUUCCGCUGCGUCGGUGGGACGGAGCGAGAGCGUACACGUUGGGACCCGAAAGAUGGUGAACUAUGCCUGGGCAGGACGAGGCCAGAGGAAACUCUGGUGGAGGUCCGCAGCGAUUCUGACGUGCAAAUCGAUCGUCAGACCUUGGUAUAGGGGCGAAAGACUAAUCGAACCGUCUAGUAGCUGGUUCCCUCCGAAGUUUCCCUCAGGAUAGCUGGUGCUCGAUCGGAAUCAGUCUCAUCCGGUAAAGCGAAUGAUUAGAGGCCUUGGGGCCGAAACGACCUCAACCUAUUCUCAAACUUUCAAUGGGUGAGAAGUCCGGUUUACCCGACUGAAGCCCGGACGAUUCUCAGGAUGUGAGUGCCCAGUGGGCCACUUUU
rnacentral:rRNA from 1 species